AACGUAGGAGACAAACGUUAUCCGGAGUUACUGGGCGUAAAGGGCGUGUAGGCGGCCAUGUAGGUCCGGUGUGAAAACUCGAGGCUUAACCUCGAGAUGUCAUCGGAAACCAUUUGGCUAGAGUCCGGAAGAGGAGAGUGGAAUUCCUGGUGUAGCGGUGAAAUGCGCAGAUAUCAGGAAGAACACCAAUGGCGAAAGCAGCUCUCUGGGACGGUACUGACGCUGAGACGCGAAAGCGUGGGGAGCGAACAGG
rnacentral:rRNA from 1 species